GCCUCUAUAGUUCAGUUGGUAGAGCACUCGUCUAGUUAACGAAAGGUCUCCAGUUCGAUUCUGGGUGGAGGCA
rfam:Phlebotomus papatasi Contig3022.7, whole genome shotgun sequence.